GCAGUCGAGCGGAAACGAGUUAUCUGAACCUUCGGGGAACGAUAACGGCGUCGAGCGGCGGACGGGUGAGUAAUGCCUGGGAAAUUGCCCUGAUGUGGGGGAUAACUAUUGGAAACGAUAGCUAAUACCGCAUAACGUCUACGGACCAAAGAGGGGGACCUUCGGGCCUCUCGCUUCAGGAUAUGCCCAGGUGGGAUUAGCUAGUUGGUGAGGUAAUGGCUCACCAAGGCGACGAUCCCUAGCUGGUCUGAGAGGAUGAUCAGCCACACUGGAACUGAGACACGGUCCAGACUCCUACGGGAGGCAGCAGUGGGGAAUAUUGCACAAUGGGCGCAAGCCUGAUGCAGCCAUGCCGCGUGUAUGAAGAAGGCCUUCGGGUUGUAAAGUACUUUCAGGUCGUGAGG
rnacentral:rRNA from 1 species